AACGAACGCUGGCGGCAUGCCUAACACAUGCAAGUCGAACGGGAUCUUCGGGUCUAGUGGCGCACGGGUGCGUAACGCGUGGGAAUCUGCCCUUUGGUUCGGAAUAACAGUUGGAAACGACUGCUAAUACCGGAUGAUGACGAAAGUCCAAAGAUUUAUCGCCAGAGGAUGAGCCCGCGUAGGAUUAGCUAGUUGGUGUGGUAAAGGCGCACCAAGGCGACGAUCCUUAGCUGGUCUGAGAGGAUGGUCAGCCAAACUGGGACUGAGACACGGCCCAGACUCCUACGGGAGGCGGCCGUGGGGAAUAUUGGACAAUGGGCGAAAGCCUGAUCCCGCAAUGCCGCGUGAGUGAUGAAGGCAUUAGGGUUGUAAAGCUCUUUUACCCGGGAUGAUAAUGACAGUACCGGGAGAAUAAGCUCCGGCUAACUCCGUGCCAGCAGCCGCCGUAA
rnacentral:rRNA from 1 species